UCCGAUGUGGUGUAGUGGCUAACAUUAUCGCCUCUCGUGAUCACGCCAUUCGUUUCUCAUGUAGACGUGAUAGCCCGGGGUUCAAUUCCUCGUAUCGGAA